CAUGGCCUUUUGUUAUUUAUAUAAGGUCUAACCUGCCCAAUGAUGAUAAAUUUAAUGGCCGCGGUAUUUUGACCGUGCAAAGGUAGCAUAAUCAUUAGUUUUUUAAUUGAAAGCUGGAAUGAAAGGUUGAAUGAGAAAAUAACUGUCUUUAUUAUAUUUAAUUAGAAUUUUAUUUUUAAGUUAAAAAGCUUAAAUUUAAUUUAAAGACGAGAAGACCCUUUAGAGUUUUAUAAAGAAUUUGUUUUUGAUUUUUUAGAAUUAAUUAUAAUGAGGCAAUGUUUUAUUUGGUUGGGGCGAUUAAAAAAUUUAAUAAACUUUUUUUCUUAUUUUACAUUAUUUAUGAAUACUUGAUCCUUAAUUUAAGAUUAUAAGAUUAAAUUACCUAAGGGAUAACAGCGUUAUUUUUUUUGAGAGUUUCUAUCGAAAAAAAAGAUUGCGACCUCGAUGUUGGAUUAAAAUUAAAUUAUGGUGUAGAGGCUAUAAC
rnacentral:rRNA from 1 species